rnacentral:rRNA from 1 species
AACGAACGCUGGCGGCAUGCCUAACACAUGCAAGUCGAGCGAGACCUUCGGGUCUAGUGGCGCACGGGUGCGUAACGCGUGGGAAUCUGCCCUUGGGUUAGGAAUAACAGUUAGAAAUGACUGCUAAUACCGGAUGAUGACGUAAGUCCAAAGAUUUAUCGCCCAAGGAUGAGCCCGCGUAGGAUUAGCUUGUUGGUGAGGUAAAAGCUCACCAAGGCGACGAUCCUUAGCUGGUGUGAGAGGAUGAUCAGCCACACUGGGACUGAGUCACGGGCCAGACUACUACGGGGGGCAGCAGUGGGGAAUAUUGGACAAUGGGCGAAAGCCUGAUCCAGCAAUGCCGCGUGAGUGAUGAAGGCCUUAGGGUUGUAAAGCUCCUUUACCCGGGAUGAUAAUGACAGUACCGGGAGAAUAAGCCCCGGCUAACUCCGUGCCAGCCGCCGCAGUAAAAC